GACGGGGGAUGCAAGCGUUAUCCGGAAUCACUGGGCGUAAAGCGUCUGUAGGUGGUGAUGCAAGUCACUGGUGCAAAACUCUGGCUCAACCGGAGGAAAGCCAGUGAAACUGCAUGACUAGAGUGUGGGAGAGGUAGAAGGAAUUCCCUGAGUAGCGGUGAAAUGCGUAGAUACAGUGAAGAACACCGGAGGCGAAAGCGUUCUACUGGAACACACCUGACACUGAGAGCCGAAAGCUAGGGGAGCGAAUGGG
rnacentral:rRNA from 1 species